rnacentral:rRNA from 1 species
CGGUCGACCGGCGCACGGUGAGUAACGCGUAUCCAACCUGCCCACCACUUGGGGAGUAACCUUGCGAAAGUAAGACUAAUACCCAAUGAUAUCUCUAGAAGACAUCUGAAAGAGAUUAAAGAUUUAUCGGUGAUGGGUGGGGAUGCGUCUGAUUAGCUUGUUGGCGGGGUAACGGCCCACCAAGGCGACGAUCAGUAGGGGUUCUGAGAGGAAGGUCCCCACAUUGGAACUGAGACACGGUCCAA